rnacentral:rRNA from 1 species
GGGCCUGGCCUGAGUAUGAUGAUGAUCUGGUGAGAGCAGAUGGGAGCUUGCUCCCUGAUGUUAGCGGCGGACGGGUGAUUAACACGUGGGUAACCUGCCUGUAAGACUGGGAUAACUCCGGGAAACCGGGGCUAAUACCGGAUGGUUGUUUGAACCGCAUGGUUCAAACAUAAAAGGUGGCUUCGGCUACCACUUACAGAUGGACCCGCGGCGCAUUAGCUAGUUGGUGAGGUAACGGCUCACCAAGGCAACGAUGCGUAGCCGACCUGAGAGGGUGAUCGGCCACACUGGGACUGAGACACGGCCCAGACUCCUACGGGAGGCAGCAGUAGGGAAUCUUCCGCAAUGGACGAAAGUCUGACGGAGCAACGCCGCGUGAGUGAUGAAGGUUUUCGGAUCGUAAAGCUCUGUUGUUAGGGAAGAACAAGUACCGUUCGAAUAGGGCGGUACCUUGACGGUACCUAACCAGAAAGCCACGGCUAACUACGUGCCAGCAGCCGCGGUAAUACGUAGGUGGCAAGCGUUGUCCGGAAUUAUUGGGCGUAAAGGGCUCGCAGGCGGUUUCUUAAGUCUGAUGUGAAAGGGCCCGGCUCAACCGGGGAGGGUCAUUGGAAACUGGGGAACUUGAGUGCAGAAGAGGAGAGUGGAAUUCCACGUGUAGCGGUGAAAUGCGUAGAGAUGUGGAGGAACACCAGUGGCGAAGGCGACUCUCUGGUCUGUAACUGACGCUGAGGAGCGAAAGCGUGGGGAGCGAACAGGAUUAGAUACCCUGGUAGUCCACGCCGUAAACGAUGAGUGCU